UACGUAGGGUGCGAGCGUUGUCCGGAAUUAUUGGGCGUAAAGAGCUUGUAGGCGGUUUGUCGCGUCUGCCGUGAAAAUUCGAGGCUCAACCUCGAACUUGCGGUGGGUACGGGCAGACUAGAGUGUGGUAGGGGAGACUGGAAUUCCUGGUGUAGCGGUGAAAUGCGCAGAUAUCAGGAGGAACACCGAUGGCGAAGGCAGGUCACUGGGCCGCAACUGACGCUGAGGAGCGAAAGCAUGGGGAGCGAACAGG
rnacentral:rRNA from 1 species